rnacentral:rRNA from 1 species
UACGAAGGGGGCGAGCGUUGUUCGGAAUCACUGGGCGUAAAGGGCGCGUAGGCGGCCCUCCUUGUCGCGUGUGAAAGCCCCGGGCUCAACCUGGGAACGGCGCGCGAGACGGGGGGGCUGGAGUUCGGGAGAGGAGCGUGGAAUUCCUAGUGUAGAGGUGAAAUUCGUAGAUAUUGGGAAGAACACCGGUGGCGAAGGCGGCGACCUGGUCCAUUACUGACGCUGAGGCGCGACAGCGUGGGGAGCAAACAGG